rnacentral:rRNA from 1 species
ACGGAAGGCAGCAGUGGGGAAUAUUGGACAAUGGGGGAAACCCUGAUCCAGCGACGCCGCGUGAGUGAAGAAGUAUUUCGGUAUGUAAAGCUCUAUCAGUAGGGAAGAAAAUGACGGUACCUAACUAAGAAGCUCCGGCUAAAUACGUGCCAGCAGCCGCGGUAAUACGUAUGGAGCAAGCGUUAUCCGGAUUUACUGGGUGUAAAGGGAGCGUAGACGGCAAAGCAAGUCUGAUGUGAAAUAUUGGGGCUCAACCCCGAAACUGCAUUGGAAACUGUUUAGCUAGAGUGCAGGAGAGGUAAGUGGAAUCCCUAGUGUAGCGGUGAAAUGCGUAGAUAUUAGGAGGAACACCAGUGGCGAAGGCGGCUUGCUGGACGACAACUGACGCUGAGGCGCGAAAGCGUGGGGAGCAAACAGGAUUAGAUACCCUGGUA